GUUGUUUCCAUAAUAGUUACAAGGAAGAUUGGUGAAUACGUAAACAUACAGUUGGAAUUCCCAGCUGUUAGAAUAUAAGUACUCUAUAAGUACUCUAUUCAUCAAGGUUCACAACAUGAGGAAUUCCCAGCUGUUAGAAUAUAAGUACUCUAUUCAUCAAGGUUCACAACAUGAGGAAUUCCCAGCUGUUAGAAUAUAAGUACUCUAUUCAUCAAGGUUCACAACAUGAGGAAUUCCCAGCUGUUAGAAUAUAAGUACUCUAUUCAUCAAGGUUCACAACAUGAGGAAUUCCCAGCUGUUAAAAUAUAAGUACUCUAUUCAUCAAGGUUCACAACAUGAGGAAUUCCCAGCUGUUAGAAUAUAAGUACUCUAUUCAUCAAGGUUCACAACAUGAGGAAUUCCCAGCUGUUAGAAUAUAAGUACUCUAUUCAUCAAGGUUCACAGCAUGAGGAAUUCCCAGCUGUUAGAAUAUAAGUACUCUAUUCAUCAAGGUUCACAACAUGAGGAAUUCCUAGCUAUUAGAAUAUAAGUACUCUAUUCAUCAAGGUUCACAACAUGAGGAAUUCCCAGCCGUUAGAAUAUAAGUACUCUAUUCAUCAAGGUUCACAACAUGAGGAAUUCCCAGCUGUUAGAAUAUAAGUACUCUAUUCAUCAAGGUUCACAACAUGAGGAAUUCCCAGCUGUUAGAAUAUAAGUACUCUAUUCAUCAAGGUUCACAACAUGAGGAAAUGGAUAUUAUUGCAAUUUGUAUUGAUAUCAAUAUUUAAAGAUGCACAUGAUAAAUAAUGUUCAAAAAC